ACUUUAUUGAACUUUUUGCUAGCAUUCAAAAAAUAUUUACAUGUAAUUUUAAUUUUACAAUUUUUAAAUUUUGUUAAAUCCACUUUUUCAGCUUUCGAUCCAGUUACAACAGAGCAGUGAAUACUGGGCAGACAAAGUGCGAGAACUCUCUGGGCAGCUGGGCAAGGCCCGAUCCACCAUCAGCCAGUCCCCCAAGCCGCGAUAGUCUGACCCAGCUGUACAUCUAGUGUUUGUGUUACCGUCCAUUAGUACUAGUCGCAGAACUUGGAUGUUGUCGGUACUGUUUCUGUACACAGGGAUAGCAGACACCGUUGUAGAGCAGUUUUAAUGUGAAUGUAUGUGUGUACAUGUAUUUAGAGGAAGCAUAAUGUAUUUAUUGAAAUACAGAUGAUUCAGCACCGAGUUAGUUGCCAGUUGUCUGCCAAUUACUGAUAGAAAUUCAAGUCUCUUUGUUGUUGUAAGUUAUAGAUAUUUUUAAAGGAUAUUUUGUUUAACAUUUUUAUUUUUUAUUUAGUAUUGACAAGUGUUCGACACUUUUCAUAUUUUGCCGUCCAUUUAUUGAAGCUUUUGACCAUUAUAUUUAUAUCUUGUACCCCUUCUUUAUAAAAAUCAUGAUGCUAAAUUUAGAUAGCAACAAAUUUUUUUUUACGAAUGGAAAAUAUGAGUAUGCCAUUAUGAAUAUUCUGAGUGGCAGCAUAGUAUUUGUGCAGUAUUAUGUUUAUUUACCUGACCAUAGAAUUAUGGUGAUAAAUGAAGUACACCAAAUGAGUUACAUUCCUAAAUGUUGUCUUACUCAAAGGUGGGGACCAAAACCUGUGGUUGAGAGAGAGAGAGAGAAAAAAACCUGUGAUAAAUAAUUUACCUUUAGCUAGAGAAUUCUUUUUUUCUUAUGUGAAAGCUGUAUUUAAGAUAGAUCUGUGUACAUGUAACUUAUAAUUUUGCCAGAUUUCUGUAUAGUAGGUGGUUUUUCUUGGAAGUGAAGAAAUUGUUUUCUUACUGUAUGCAUUUUCUAAGUAUAGCACUGUGAUUUAUUUAACCAAUUUUUUUUCCUUAAUUAUUUCCCAGAAGAACAUUGUCUCGCUUUUCAUUUAUUAUAUAUAUAAUUAUAUACAUACAUAUUUUUAUGAAUAAAUGAAAUCCAUCACC
rnacentral:misc_RNA from 1 species